rnacentral:rRNA from 1 species
CGUCUAGCUCGUGUCGUGAGAUGUUGGGUUAAGUCCGUAACGAGCGCAACCCUUGUCCUUAGUUACCAGCACGUUAUGGUGGGCACUCUAAGGAGACUGCCGGUGACAAACCGGAGGAAGGUGGGGAUGACGUCAAGUCAUCAUGGCCCUUACGGCCUGGGCUACACACGUGCUACAAUGGUCGGUACAAAGGGUUGCCAAGCCGCGAGGUGGAGCUAAUCCCAUAAAACCGAUCGUAGUCCGGAUCGCAGUCUGCAACUCGACUGCGUGAAGUCGGAAUCGCUAGUAAUCGUGAAUCAGAAUGUCACGGUGAAUACGUUCCCGGGCCUU